rnacentral:sRNA from 1 species
UUCAGGAGGUUCCCCAAUGAUGCGGAGCAUCAUUUUUUGCAUGGGACCGACGAACUGCCUCCGAAGCUUUAGCUGAGGUGGCGACACCAUAA